rnacentral:rRNA from 1 species
GACGAAGGGGGCUAGCGUUGUUCGGAAUUACUGGGCGUAAAGCGAGUGUAGGUGGUUUUCCGAGUUGGAUGUGAAAGCCUUGAGCUCAACUCAAGAAAUGCAUUCAGGACUGGAAGACUAGAGGACCGGAGAGGAUAGUGGAAUUCCCAGUGUAGUGGUGAAAUACGUAGAGAUUGGGAAGAACACCAGUGGCGAAGGCGGCUAUCUGGACGGUUUCUGACACUAAGACUCGAAAGCGUGGGGAGCAAACAGG